rnacentral:ncRNA from 1 species
GACCUCUGGAGAAUCUCAUUUUUUGAGUGCCGAAGGUGCAAGGUGUCAUCACCGAAUCUCUCAGGCAAAAGGACAGAGCA